AGCGGCGGACGGGUGAGUAACGCGUGAGCAACUUUCCUUUCACAGGGGGAUAACGCAGCGAAAGCUGUGCUAAUACCGCAUGAGACUACAGAGCUACAUGGCUUAGAGAGUCAAAGGAGCAUUCCGGUGAAGGGUGGGCUCGCGUCUGAUUAGCUAGUUGGUGAGGUAACGGCCCACCAAGGCGACGAUCAGUAGCCGACCUGAGAGGGUGAUCGGCCACACUGGGACUGAGACACGGCCCAGACUCCUACGGGAGGCAGCAGUGGGGAAUAUUGGGCAAUGGGGGAAACCCUGACCCAGCAACGCCGCGUGAGGGAAGAAGGUUUUCGGAUUGUAAACCUCUGUCCUUGGUGAAGAGAAGAAGACGGUAGCCAAGGAGGAAGCCCCGGCUAACUACGUGCCAGCAGCCGCGGUAAUACGUAGGGGGCGAGCGUUGUCCGGAAUGAUUGGGCGUAAAGGGCGCGUAGGCGGCCUGUUAAGUCUGGAGUGAAAGUCCCGCUUUUAAGGUGGGAAUUGCUUUGGAAACUGGCGGGCUUGAGUGCAGGAGAGGUUAGUGGAAUUCCCGGUGUAGCGGUGAAAUGCGUAGAGAUCGGGAGGAACACCAGUGGCGAAGGCGACUAACUGGACUGUAACUGACGCUGAGGCGCGAAAGUGUGGGGAGCAAACAGGAUUAGAUACCCUGGUAGUCCACACG
rnacentral:rRNA from 1 species